CUUCCUCAAUGAGACUGCAGUCUCUGUCCAAACUCAGCACAUAAAACAAACAAACAAACAAAACGUUGCCGCUGUGCUAAAAGAGACUUAAGCUCCAUUUUCUGUAAAAAUCAAAAUGAGAGAGACCAGCAAGUGUAGACCAAGGCACAGCGAUUCCCGAGGUGAGCUCUUUUGUCAGAGGCAAAUGGAUGACGGAGAAGAAAGAGUUGGAGAAGCAAGUCUGAGAAACUAAGAACUCUUCACAGAGCCUGAUAUGUCUUUGUAUCUGGAGCUGCCAAGAGAGGGGCAUAUACACUGCAAGGCACUCAUAUUUCUUUGGCCAAGAAUCGUACCCCCACCCCACCCCUCUCUUCUACUCCAGAUAACCUUUCAAUAAAUUGAAGCCAGGAAAUCAGCACCUCUCUCCAGGAACUAGAGAAACGGCCAUUAGCAUAUCUAUCUUUCUACAGAACAGGUCUUUGUGCCCGCUAUCAACUUCACGAAGACAGUUUUUCCUCUUCCAGUAAGUAGUAGCCAGGAAGCCACCGGAAGGCUCUGGAGCCUUUUUUCUUACUCAAGAUUCACCUCGGGGUUUAAAAAUAGCUUUGUCCUCUUGGGUAAAUGCCAGGCGAAGGGUUAAUCUUUAACAAGUAAAGUGGCUGGUCUAUGGAGUUUGGCCUGGUCUGAAACGGCAGGGCUGUGGGUGCCCAUCACCCAUGGCAGUAACAGAGAGGCCCACCUUUCUCCUGCUGUUGAGACAGCCCUGGACCCUGACCAUGGCAGCUUAUUUGCCUCACUUCCUUCUGCCUGCCACGCAACACCCUUCUUCUGUGACUCCCCAAAUCUGCUUCCAAGAAUCUACCCCAUUCCAGACACUGGGAGGCCCCUGUCGCUGCAGUGUUGUUGGAGACUGUCACUCAUGAAGCCCUCUGGGAGACACUCCUGAAGCCCCUCACUGCCACUUCCAAGGGGAGGGGGUGGGGCAUGCAGAAGCCAUUGACAGAGGCUGGGAGCUUGCACCAUGCAAGCUUCUUAAGCACAAAUAGCUAUUAAACGGCUCUCUGAGCUUUGUUCUGAUACUGUGGCAAUCAAUACCUUGCUAUGCAUUUGAUCAAGGUGAUUUAGGACCCAAGAUCUAUUUGCCCUUGAGCGCUCCUCUUAUCUGUGGUUACACAGGAGCCUCCCCACUGAUGGCGCCUGCAGCCUUGCUGACCUUAAUCCCUAGGCAGUAAUACCUCUCUGAGCUUUGCUCCAUAGGCGAAGACAAUUUCUUGCAUCCUGUACGACAAAGACAUGGACUUUUGUAAAAGAAUGGAAUUGGCAGGCACAGGUGAGUUUGUUGCUAAGAUAACUGCCAUCUGUUGUAAGCAGUUCUGGAGGAAUCCUGGGUUUGGCAGGCUGGUGACAGCCCUAGAGUCGAAGCCACCUGCCUGGUCUGCAGCUAAGGAG
rnacentral:lncRNA from 1 species